rnacentral:tRNA from 1 species
GCCCCCUUGGCGGAAUUGGUAGACGCAGAGGACUUAAAAUCCUUUGCCGUAUGGCGUCCCGGUUCGAGUCCGGGAGGGGGCA